GACUCAAAAUUUUACUACAAAGUAAUUCAAAAGAGUUCAGAUUAGGGAUGUGUGCAAGAACAAUUUACAAGCCAAUUUUUAUUAUGUUGAUAAAAAUAAUAAUUUAAACCUCCCCCGCAAAAUAACCCCCAAAGGACAUUUUUUACAUGACUUAAAACUUCCCAUCAUACGACUCAUGUUGUUUAGGACAGUUAAGACUAAUAUAAAACAUGUUAAUAAUCUAUAUGUUUUUGUCAUGCUUUAUACAAAUAAAGUAAGGAGCACGACCAUAAAU